UACGGGGGGGGCAAGCGUUGUUCAGAAUUACUGGGCGUAAAGGGCGCGUAGGCGGCCUUCUAAGUCGGACGUGAAAUCCCUCGGCUCAACCGAGGAACUGCGUCCGAUACUGAAAGGCUUGAAUCCGGGAGAGGGAUGUGGAAUUCCAGGUGUAGCGGUGAAAUGCGUAGAUAUUGGGAAGAACACCGGUGGCGAAGGCGGCUCUCUGGAUCGAGACUGACGCUGAGGCGCGAAAGCGUGGGGAGCAAACAGG
rnacentral:rRNA from 1 species